CGACUCUCGGCAACGGAUAUCUAGGCUCUCGCAUCGAUGAAGAACGUAGCAAACUGCGAUACUUGGUGUGAAUUGCAGAAUCCCGUGAACCAUCGAGUCUUUGAACGCAAGUUGCGCCCGAAGUCGCUAGGCCGAGGGCACGUCUGCCUGGGCGUCAC
rnacentral:rRNA from 1 species